GGCAUGGUGGCUGAGUGGUAAAGCACUUGGCUUUCAAACUGGGGGUCCCAGGUUCAAAUCCUGGUGAAGACU
rnacentral:tRNA from 1 species